rnacentral:rRNA from 1 species
CAUGCAGGUGGUCUGUUAAGUCAGAUGUGAAAGCCCAAGGCUUAACCUUGGAAUCGCAUUUGAAACUGGCAGGCUAGAGUACUGUAGAGGGGGGUAGAAUUUCAGGUGUAGCGGUGAAAUGUGUAGAGAUCUGAAGGAAUACCGGUGGCGAAGGCGGCCCCCUGGACAGAUACUGACACUCAGAUGCGAAAGUGUGGGGAGCAAACA